UACGGAGGGUGCGAGCGUUGUCCGGAAUCACUGGGCGUAAAGGGCGCGUAGGCGGAUACUUAAGUCAGGGGUGAAAUCCCGGGGCUCAACCCCGGAACUGCCUUUGAUACUGGGUAUCUCGAGUCCGGAAGAGGUGAGUGGAAUUCCGAGUGUAGAGGUGAAAUUCGUAGAUAUUCGGAGGAACACCAGUGGCGAAGGCGGCUCACUGGUCCGGUACUGACGCUGAGGUGCGAAAGCGUGGGGAGCAAACAGG
rnacentral:rRNA from 1 species